rnacentral:misc_RNA from 1 species
CCUUGGCGCCUUCCUUCACGAUGGCCUGGGCCAGAACGGUCGCGGUGGUGGUGCCGUCGCCGGCGGCGUCUGCCGACUUCGAGGCCACUUCACGGACCAUCUGCGCGCCCAUGUUCUCGAACUUGUCCUCAAGCUCGAUUUCCUUGGCGACGGUGACGCCGUCCUUGGUGAUACGCGGUAGCGCCGAACGACUUGUCGAGGACGACGUUGCGGCCCUUCGGACCGAGCGUCACCUUGACGGCGUUGGCGAGAAUGUCGACGCCGCGCAACAUCUUGUCACGGGCUUCAACGCCGAAUUUGACUUCUUUGGCUGACAUGUUGGGUUUUCCUUCGAAUGAUUUCACUGGUUGUCAUCACCGGGCUUGUCCCGGUGAUCCCGACAGGCGAGGCGCUGUGCCCUCUUUAUCGGGAUGGCCGGACUAAAUCCGGCCAUGACAGACGAGAAGUUCGUGGCUUAAGCGGCCUUCUUCUUGGCGCCGGUCUCGGUGAUGACGCCCAUGAUGUCGCUUUCCUUCAUGAUCAGCACUUCCUGGCCGUCGAUCUUGACCUCGGUGCCGGACCACUUGCCGAACAGGACGAUGUCGCCGACCUUGAGAUCGA